rnacentral:rRNA from 1 species
ACUCCUACGGGAGGCAGCAGUGGGGAAUAUUGCGCAAUGGGCGAAAGCCUGACGCAGCCAUACCGCGUGUGUGAAGAAGGCCUUCGGGUUGUAAAGCACUUUCAGUGGGGAGGAAAAGCUGGUGGCUAAUAUCCAUCGGCCGUGACGCUACCCACAGAAGAAGCACCGGCUAAUUCCGUGCCAGCAGCCGCGGUAAUACGGAAGGUGCGAGCGUUAAUCGGAAUUACUGGGCGUAAAGCGCACGUAGGUGGCUUGGUAAGUCGGAUGUGAAAGCCCCGGGCUCAACCUGGGAACUGCAUUCGAUACUGCCGAGCUAGAGUACGAAAGAGGGGGGUGGAAUUCCAGGUGUAGCGGUGAAAUGCGUAGAGAUCNGGAGGAACACCAGUGGCGAAGGCGGCCNNCUGGNNCNANACUGACGCUGAGGNNCGAANGCGUGGGGAGCAAACAGGAUUAGAUACCCUGGUAGUC